CCUACGGGAGGCAGCAGUGAGGAAUAUUGGUCAAUGGGCGCGAGCCUGAACCAGCCAAGUAGCGUGAAGGAUGACUGCCCUACGGGUUGUAAACUUCUUUUAUAAAGGAAUAAAGUGAGGCACGUGUGCCUUUUUGUAUGUCCUUUAUGAAUAAGGAUCGGCUAACUCCGUGCCAGCAGCCGCGGUAAUACGGAGGAUCCGAGCGUUAUCCGGAUUUAUUGGGUUUAAAGGGAGCGUAGAUGGGUUGUUAAGUCAGUUGUGAAAGUUUGCGGCUCAACCGUAAAAUUGCAAUUGAUACUGGCAGUCUAGAGUACAGUUGAGGUAGGCGGAAUGCGUGGUGUAGCGGUGAAAUGCUGAGAUAUCACGAAGAACUCCGAUUGCGAAGGCAGCUGACGAAGCUGCCACUGACAUUGAUGCUCGAAAGUGUGGGUAUCAAACAGGAUUAGAUACCCCAGUAGUC
rnacentral:rRNA from 1 species